AGCGAACGCUGGCGGCAGGCCUAACACAUGCAAGUCGAACGAACCUUUCGGGGUUAGUGGCGGACGGGUGAGUAACACGUGGGAACGUGCCUUUAGGCUCGGAAUAACUCAGGGAAACUUGUGCUAAUACCGAAUGUGCCCUUCGGGGGAAAGAUUAAUCGCCUUUAGAGCGGCCCGCGUCUGAUUAGCUAGUUGGUUGAGGUAAUGGCUCACCAAGGCGACGAUCAGUAGCUGGUCUGAGAGGAUGAUCAGCCACAUUGGGACUGAGACACGGCCCAAACUCCUACGGGAGGCAGCAGUGGGGAAUCUUGCGAAAUGGGCGAAAGCCUGACGCAGCCAUGCCGCGUGAAUGAUGAAGGUCUUAGGAUUGUAAAAUUCUUUCACCGGGGACGAUAAUGACGGUACCCGGAGAAGAAGCCCCGGCUAACUUCGUG
rnacentral:rRNA from 1 species